GUGUCAGCAGCCGCGGUAAUACGUAGGGGGCGAGCGUUGUCCGAAGUUACUGGGCGUAAAGCGCGCGUAGGCGGCUCUUUAAGUGACUGGUGAAAUCCCCGGGCUCAACCCGGGAGUGUCUGGUCAUACUGGGGAGCUAGAGUGUGGGAGGGGAGAGCGGAACUCCAGGUGUAGCGGUGAUAUGCGUAGAGAUCUGGAAGAACACCCGUGGCGAAGGCGGCUCUCUGGACCAUAACUGACGCUGAGGUGCGAAAGCCAGGGGAGCGAACGGGAUUAGAAACCCUCGUAGUCC
rnacentral:rRNA from 1 species